AGUGAACGCUGGCGGUAGGCCUAACACAUGCAAGUCGAACGGCAGCACAGUAAGAGCUUGCUCUUACGGGUGGCGAGUGGCGGACGGGUGAGGAAUACAUCGGAAUCUACUUUUUCGUGGGGGAUAACGUAGGGAAACUUACGCUAAUACCGCAUACGACCUACGGGUGAAAGCAGUGGAUCUUCGGACCUUGCGCGAUUGAAUGAGCCGAUGUCGGAUUAGCUAGUUGGCGGGGUAAAGGCCCACCAAGGCGACGAUCCGUAGCUGGUCUGAGAGGAUGAUCAGCCACACUGGAACUGGGACACGGUCCAGACUCCUACGGGAGGCAGCAGUGGGGAAUAUUGGACAAUGGGCGCAAGCAUGAUCCAGCCAUACCGCGUGGGUGAAGAAGGCCUUCGGGUUGUAAAGCCCUUUUGUUGGGAAAGAAAAGCAGCAGGUUAAUACCCCGCUGUUCUGACGGUACCCAAAGAAUAAGCACCGGCUAACUUCGUG
rnacentral:rRNA from 1 species